rnacentral:rRNA from 1 species
AACGAACGCUGGCGGCAGGCUUAACACAUGCAAGUCGAGCGCCCCGCAAGGGGAGCGGCAGACGCGUGAGUAACGCGUGGGAACGUACCCUUAUCUUCGGAAUAGCUCCGGGAAACUGGAAUUAAUACCGAAUGUGCCCUUAGGGGGAAAGAUUUAUCGGAUAAGGAUCGGCCCGCGUUGGAUUAGCUAGUUGGUGGGGUAAAGGCCUACCAAGGCGACGAUCCAUAGCUGGUCUGAGAGGAUGAUCAGCCACAUUGGGACUGAGACACGGCCCAAACUCCUACGGGAGGCAGCAGUGGGGAAUAUUGGACAAUGGGCGCAAGCCUGAUCCAGCCAUGCCGCGUGAGUGAUGAAGGCCCUAGGGUUGUAAAGCUCUUUCAGUAGGGAAGAUAAUGACGGUACCUACAGAAGAAGCCCCGGCUAACUUCGUGCCAGCCGCCGCCGUAAUAC